CCUUGAAGAAAGUAGUGAGAAAGGGAAAAAAACCCACAUUAAUUGCUUAAAUGGAAUCAUAUGUGCAAAUAAAUAUAUAUAGCAAUUAAUAAUCAACCAUUGUUAAUCCUAGGCCUAGGAAAUUCUGCACUGCAGCAGACACACAUCCUGCUAAGAGAACAGCACUAAAAUCUUCCAGAGAUCUCUAUGUACAGCUGGGUUUCAUGCCAAGAUGUCAACACUAACAUUUAACAUCCUUUCCAGGAGAUUUAUCACAUCAGGUCUAACAAGGAUGUCUGGAUUUGGAAAGCUGACACAAGCCAUAAAGUUACUGCUUAAAAGAUGAUCAGCUACUGUGACUUGUUUGUGUGUUCAUACCCUGGAGAAGGGAGAAAACCAGCAGUACUCCCAUUUCUCAAGGGUAUUCAUCACUUUUAACACAGUGUUUCUAGUUCUAGAAUAUCCCAAAAGAUUAUACAAACACCAACAUGUAUAUUAUUUAAGACAAUAGAAUUUAUUUACAAAACAAUGUUUCAUUUUAAAAAAAUCUCAUCCUUGUGCUAAUGCUUUCUGUGAAACAUUUACAUAUCAAGCAACUGCUGAAGUGCCUACAGUUGAGGCAGAUCUCUUACUUGAAGUGGUUCCUAGAGCUCUCCAAAAUGAAACUCCAACUAAUAUCCCAGGGAUUCCUGCUUCAUCCUGCAAAAAACAAAAUGGACAGAAGACAUUUAGAAGGAUAUUUAAGUAGAAAAACACCUCCUCCCAAGCCCUUGAACUGAAAAAGCUACAAAACCCCUACAAACAAACCUGCUUAUUGUUGCCAAAUUAUAGCUGAAAUUUUGUUAUGUACCAGAUUGGUUGAACUGGUACAAACUGCUUUUGCAAAGCUGACAUUCUAACUCAGCUAUGGGGAAAACCAUACCUAACAAGAAUAACAAGGUAAUAUUUUUGUUUUAAUAAUUCAAUUAAAUUACUGAACAGAACAUGCAAAAGAGACAAAACAUGACCGUUAAUAUGCAACCAGCAAACAGCAUCACCUACUGGCAGGCAAGAUUUCAAAAAAGCUUCAGCUGGAUUUUCGAAGUAACUACAACGUGCUUUUUAAACAGAAUCACAGAAUAUCCUGAGUUGGAAGGCUCUCACAAGGAUCUUAGAGGCCAACUCCCGGCCCUGCACAGAACUCCAACAAUGCCAGCCAGUGCCUGAGAGCGUGAGUCAAACCUUGAGUUCUGUCAGGCUUGCGAGCCGCGACCACUUACCUGGGAGCCUGUUCAGUGCCUGACCACCCUCUAAGUAAAAAACUUUUCCUAAUACCA